rnacentral:rRNA from 1 species
UACGGAGGGGGGCUAGUGUUAUUCGUGAUGAUUGGGCGUUAAAGGGUAUGUAGGCGGUUUUAUGUGGCCUAAUGAAAAACUGGAGCUUCACUCCUUAAACGUUAGAGAACCCUGUAUUACUUGAGUUUAGGGGAGGAUAGCAGUACCUACGAAGGAGGGGUGGAAUCCGGCAAUAUCGAUGGGGACUUUCAUUAGGCGAAGGCAGCUAUCCAUUCUAAUCUGACGCUGAGAUACGGAAGCGUGGGGAGCAAACGG